UGUCCCGGGAGUGUUUGUCCAUCGUUUGACUCUCAGCCCAUGAAGGGUUUCGGGGGAUCAGCUUCCUAGCAGGAGGCGGGGAAGGACCAGGAGAGCCUGCGGGUCAAAGGCAGAGCCCCAAGGACGGCCAGCCAUAACUCUCUGACCUCACCUGGGCGCUGGGAGGCCAAAUUUUCUCUAUUCUUAACAGAAGCCCGAAUACAGUCAUGCGCCGUAUAACACGGCAGUCAUCACAGGACCACACGUCUGACAGCCAUCCCACCCUAGGAAUGUGAUCUCAGGAGACACAGUGGUGCAGAGGGAAAGUCACCGGCCUGGGAGUCCGCCAGAAGUCACCCUCCUCCUCACUCUCCCCCACGCUGCCCCACCUGGGACACGUCCUGCAGCCAUUCCGCACCUCCUGCCUG